rnacentral:rRNA from 1 species
UACGUAGGGUGCAAGCGUUGUCCGGAAUUAUUGGGCGUAAAGAGCUUGUAGGCGGUUUGUCGCGUCUGCUGUGAAAUUUCGGGGCUCAACCCCGAACUUGCAGUGGGUACGGGCAGACUAGAGUGGUGGUAGGGGAGACUGGAAGUUCCUGGUGUAGCGGUGAAAUGCGCAGAUAUCAGGAGGAACACCGAUGGCGAAGGCGGGUCUCUGGACAGUUCCUGACGCUGAGGCACGAAGGCCAGGGGAGCAAACGGG